AGAUUGACAGAUUGAUAGCUCUUUCUCGAUUCCGUGGGUGGUGGUGCAUGGCCGUUCUUAGUUGGUGGAGCGAUUUGUCUGGUUAAUUCCGAUAAAGAACUAGAGUGCGGAAGAGAGUGAGGGCGAAGAUAU